rnacentral:rRNA from 2 species
UACAGAGGGCGCAAGCGUUAUUCGGAUUCACUGGGCAUAAAGAGCACGUAGGCGGCUACGUAAGUCGGAUGUGAAAUCCCGCGGCUCAACCGCGGAAUGGCAUCCGAUACUGCGUGGCUCGAGGUCGGAAGGGGUAAGCGGAACUCCAGGUGGAACGGUGAAAUGUGUAGAUAUCUGGAGGAACACCGGUGGCGAAGGCGGCUUACUGGUCCGAAUCUGACGCUGAGGUGCGAAAGCUAGGGGAGCGAAC